GACGAACGCUGGCGGCGUGCUUAACACAUGCAAGUCGAACGAUGAAGAAAAGAAUCGAAGCUUCGGCAGAAAUUCAUUUCGGAUUAGUGGCAGACGGGUGAGUAACGCGUGAGCAACCUACCUCUUACAAAGGGAUAGCCUCGGGAAACCGGGAUUAAUACCAUAUAACAUUGCGACGAAGCAUUUCGAUGCAAUCAAAGCUACGGCGGUAAGAGAUGGGCUCGCGUCCCAUUAACCGGAUGGUGAGGUAACGGCUCACCAUAGUGACGAUGGGUAACCGGGCUGAGAGGGUGAACGGUCACACUGGAACUGAGACACGGUCCAGACUCCUACGGGAGGCAGCAGUGGGGAAUAUUGCACAAUGGAGGGAACUCUGAUGCAGCGACGCCGCGUGAGUGAUGAAGGUAUUCGUGUCGUAAAACGCUGUUCUAUGGGAAGAAAAGGACGGUACCAUAGGAGAAAGCUCCGGCUAAAUACGUG
rnacentral:rRNA from 1 species